rnacentral:rRNA from 1 species
UACAGAGGUCUCAAGCGUUGUUCGGAUUCAUUGGGCGUAAAGGGUGUGUAGGUGGCGCGCUAAGUCGGGUGUGAAAUUUCGGAGCUUAACUCCGAAACUGCAUUCGAUACUGGCGUGCUUGAGGACUGGAGAGGAGACUGGAAUUCCUGGUGUAGCGGCGGAAUGCGCAGAUAUCAGGAGGAACACCGGUGGCGAAGGCGGGUCUCUGGGCAGUAACUGACGCUGAGGAGCGAAAGCGUGGGGAGCGAACAGG